rnacentral:lncRNA from 1 species
ACAAAAGUAAAAUUGCUGGGGAUAUCCCAAUCAAUCCACAGGUAGGAUAAACUCCGCUUGGGGAAAUAACUGCUCCGCUGGGGAAGAUAAACCAGGCAACUCUCUUGGGAUAAGUCUCAUACAGACCUCCGAUAUUAUAAACUCUGCUUUGGGGAAUAACUGUUACACUGCCGGGGACGACCCACAUAAUUCACAAGUAGAAACAAC